rnacentral:lncRNA from 1 species
CAGGAGGAAGCUUGAAGCCGCUGGAAUGAGGAAAAGCUUUACACAGACAAGGGCUGUCUUGCUCAUUGUCGAUUCCCGGCACCGGAGGACAGUGCAGGUACCAAGAGAUCAUGUGCGGCAGGCGCUUGAUUCAUCUGAAAUGCCCACUCUUGCCCUUGGAAGCACCGAGUCCUUGGAAAGACCCCCAGAGUCCUCUUCAGUAUAUCAAAGAAGUGCCCAUCACGCGCAUCAUUAAACAUUUAUUCUGCAUGUGUCAGGAACGCAUCGAGGGAACUGUGUGUCAACAAUCUGGCUGACACCAUCAGGGUCUGAGGCCAGAGCCUCGCAGAAAGGAAGGAUAAGAUGUUUCCAUCUUAUUUACUGAGAAUCUGCCACGAACACAGCAUCGAGAAUCUCACAUCUGCCGCCCACUCAGUCCUCGACACUGCCGUCCCACUUAACAAAUCUCUGCUUCUGCACCGCCUGCUGCACCCAGUCAUCUCUAGGGUGGAGGGCUCAGGCGGCCAG